UACGGAGGAUGCGAGCGUUAUCCGGAUUUAUUGGGUUUAAAGGGUGCGCAGGCGGUCUGUUAAGUCAGCGGUCAAAGCCCGGGGCUCAACCCCGGCCCGCCGUUGAAACUGGCAGUCUCGAGUUGGAGAGAAGUAUGCGGAAUGCGCGGUGUAGCGGUGAAAUGCAUAGAUAUUGCGCAGAACUCCGAUUGCGAAGGCAGCAUACCGGCGGCGAUCUGACGCUGAGGCUCGAAAGCAUGGGUAGCGAACAGG
rnacentral:rRNA from 1 species